rfam:Microvirga lotononidis strain WSM3557 genomic scaffold Micloscaffold_1, whole genome shotgun sequence.
GAGGGUUGGCCCCUCGAGGUCUGCGGUCAGGUGCCGGCCUCAAACCCCUGCAAGCUGCGGCCGUCAAGAGCGACCGUGGUGAGCGUUGCAGCCAAAGGCGGGAUCCUAAUCCCGUCAGGU